UUACAAAUAUAAAAGCAUUCAUAAAUCAUUUUCCACCCCUACCAGAGCAACCUUUAUGCUAUGCUAACUCACAGUUCUCCCUGAAAAGCUUAGCUAGACAAUCUAAGAAUAUUUGCUGGUUACCAUGAACACAUGUACCACCUCCUUACCUGUUGCACAGAACUUUUAACUACGGUCAGUGUCUCAGGUGAAUUUACGAGUAGAGAAUUGCACCAUGGACUAAUUUCUGUGGAUUCCAACUGGCAAACGACUCAGACAUUCUAGGGGCCCUUGCGAGCACAUAUCCUAUGCAUGGGGAUUUCCAUAUAACCAGACACUCUGGUUGUGCUGAGUUUCCCGCUCGGUGAAAGCUCUAUGUAUAUAGUUAAAACUUUCUGUAAGAACAGACCCUUUCUCAUAUUCAGCUGUACAUCCAGUUAUUUCAGAGCCACACUCAAGGCAGACGUCGAUAUCUGUGAUUAAGAGUGGCUGCUGUACACACAUUUUAUUUAAUGAGAGCUGUGCAUUCCCUAGAUCAGUCCUCCCCAGCCUGAUGGGUUCUAGAUGUUUUGGUGUAGCCACCUCUAGAAUUUCCAAGUAUGCUCAAUACAAAAUCUAAAAGCUGUAGUUUUAAACCAACUGCAGAGUUCAAGGAUGGGACAGGCUGAUGGAUAUCAAAGACCUGACAAGCACUAGUUUGGGCUCACAUGUUGCACUAAGAUCAUGGGCGUCUGCGGGUGAAGGAGGAGCAAAUGACACGUACCCGAUGACAUACUCAAACAAAUGCCACGAAUUAUGUGCUGGUGUCAGAUGUCUUAACAUAAGCAUCUCCUUGCAGCAUUUGUGUGCCUGUGUCAUUGUGCACUUUGUCAUCGUUUUGGUGUCAUUCCACUACAAUGCUUAUCCUUUCCAGCCAGCUUCAGGGGAGUUGUAGUCUAGCACAACCCUUUUGCUGGAGAAGACAAUGAUUUAAAAAAAAAAAAAAAAGGGUCACCAGCAUCACAAGAAAUGAUCGGAAUAUGAGCGUUUUAAAUUAAAGCACUGGUUUUCUUCCUGGAACUCGAGUGGGAUAAUGCCCCCCUAUUCACCCGCCACGCCAUGCCAUCAUCGCAUCACCUGGCUGGCCUAGAGGAAAGAGGACCACGCAGUCCUCCUCCCCGCCUCUUCAUUUCACCGCCUCCCGUCCGCCGCCCUCACCUUCUUCGGGCUUCUGCGAAGCUGCCUCGACGCUUCUUGCUCCGGCCAGAAUCCCAACAACAAAAAGGAGACUUACUGACAUCUGAGGACACUCAACAAGGCACCGAUAUGAAGUACAGUGUGUUCUCAGCUCCAUAGAAGUAUCCUUUGCUUCUGAUGUAAUGGCACAGGCAGUAGCCACAUAAUCACAGAAUUGGGGGGAAACUCAAAGAUCAUCUCAUCUACCACAUGCUACAAAAGGAAAUCCUAGUCUCUGUUUUAACUCCUCACUGGUGAGGCACAACUUUAAGGAGCAAUGCUUUUAAGGAGCAUUGAAAGAAUAUCUCCUUGCUCUAAUUCCUUUCAAAAUGUGCAGAAACAAUGGGAGAGAUGAAGGCCCUGGACAACUUUUAUGUGUUAGUGGAGAAGCCUGGAGUAGACAAUUAUGUCUUCUUAAUCAGCAUAGAAGAUUGAAAAAAGAGAGAGGACUUAUCUUCAAGUCUGCUGCCUAAAAAAGUGAGAACUGAAGAGAAGAAUGGAAUAAAAGGAGUUUGGUUCUUCAGACAAGUUAUACCCGAGCUGAGCAAAGUCUUUGCUAAUGUUCUUUAUUAACAGUGGUUGGUUCUGCCCUUCAGAGCUUUCCUGCUCCAGAGUAAUGUUCUGCAGAAACUGAGUGUUUUAUCCAAUAGUGAUCUUCCUCAGUAAGGACAAUUGCAUAUUAGGAGCUCUUGGCAUACUGGUUGAUAUAGUGCCUGUUAGAUUUUGCUCACUGACAGCCCUGCUAAAGGUGAGAGAGUAUUAGUUGAAGUAGUUACUAAAGAGUCUAAAUGCUGUGGGACUCUGCCAAAGAAUGUUCUUGCAAGCAUGUGAGGGAUGAAUUCCACUUCACAGUCUAUAAAGUCCUUUGAGGUCCUGUUGGGUGACAACUGCAAGAAUGCAAGGGAUUCACAUUAUUACCUAGCCUAUAUCAUUGGGAGCCCAUCUUGGAAAUCUGGAUUCUAAACUUAUUAAAAUAUUUGUUGAUAUGGAGAAGGAAGGGGAAGAAAUUUCCUUGCUGUUUACUUUUAAUUAUGACAUCUUGGCCAGCCAUGAUGGAUUUUACAAAAAAAUCCUUGGGUUUCCAGCCAACCAAUAUAUCUAAUGGAGAAAUGUAAGGCUAAGUUUUCAUGGCAGUCUUUUGUUUAGAUGUCAGUUUUUCAGUUUAUUAUUCCUUUCCAAUUCAUUGAUGGUCCAGUGCUGAUGAGCACAGUAAACUGCUUAGACACCCCCACACACACCUACAAUGCCAGCACAAUUUUUUACUUGUUUAGCUUAUAUGUGGAAAUGCAGAGUUAAUUCUCCUGCCUUCUCUGUUUCAUUCGCCUAUAGAAAUACUCCAUUAGAGCUAACAUCUGGGCAGGAACUACUGGGGAUAAUGGUCCUCAUAUUUUCCAUAGAGAUGCUACAGCACUAAUCCCCAUUAUAACCCACUGAGGAACCCCUUUUGAGCAUAUGACAUUUAACAAUUUAACAACUGACCCCAACUGUUUGUGAACUACAGCUAGCAAAUAGGCCAAUAGCUAAAGAUAAUAUAUUUUCUAAUCUUUUAAAAUUCCAUAAACAGAAAAUAAUGCAGUGUAGAAAAUGCAUACACAAACACAAUACUAUUGUUUUCCAGCUGCUUUUAUUUAUAUUCAGGUUUUGCUCAUAUUUAUGGAUGCUUGAACCCUGACAUUGACACAAUAAUCAAACAUGUUUGUUGCCAAUUUUGUUUUGACAACUUUUACUUUCAGCAACUACGUCUAUAAAGUCUAAGGCAAUUUCUGAGAUUGUUAUGAUUGUUCCUCAAGUCCUCGUACAUCAAGGUAUAGAUGACUAACAGUCCGUGCCGUUCCACCGGCCUCUCCCCUAUCAACAGGAAAACAAAGAGCUUGUUUUGCAUUCUGAUCCAUUUCCCCUCAUCCAGAAGAGAACUAGCACAGCAUGUGGUUUAUGAGGCUCCAGGUGAGCUACACAAAUCAGCCAGGAUCUGCAAAGCUAGAGAAGGAAAGAAGAAAGCCAUACACAGAGACACUCCAGCUGAUACCUGAUCCCACAAGCUCCAGAGUAAACUUAGCUUGGCUUUCUGAUGGCGAAGCACACAGUAAUUUACUGCUUCAAAUGCCAACAAAUACUUAGGGAUUAUCAACACUUAUUAAGAGGUUCAAAGGAGAGUUUCAAACUGAUUGGCCAAGAAGCUCCCCCUCCCUCAGGCUAAAUCAUUAUUUCCUGGCAAACCUAGGCAGGAGGCUUAUCCAGCCUUUUCAUCGCUGCCAUUUGACCAGGGACUCUUGGGGGCAGAAGUAAUGUCUUGUAAUGACUCUCAGUUUUCCUAGCUUGAAAAUGAUUCCACAAAUGGAAGGACCACAGAAUUUCACAAACUCACUGGAAAUGUAAUAGGAUUUGUCUUAGGGCUACAAGUUUUGGGCUACAAAAGCUGGAUGACUAUGAGAUGGUAGCAGUGGGAUACAGAAACUCUAUUUGCUGCCAUCUAGUGCAGCCCAGAUAUGGUAGCCCUGACUUGUCCCCUGUUGCUGAGACCUUAUAACAGCCAUUUGUAACAAGCAUUCCAAUUGUACUUAAUACGCAGAUACUGUAUAAAUGAGGUUCAUACAUUGCAUUAAACCAUGAUUUGCUUUAACUGAAGAAGGUAUAGCAGCUUAGUUCCCACAUAAUAUUAAACCAUAAAUCAUGGUUUAAGGCCAUACUAAGCCAUAAUAUGGUUUGUUUACGUUUGACUUUAUUGUGAUUUAUUCACCAAACAUGAUUCAAUUAUGAUUUACUGCAAUGUGAAAGUUCAGGAACUGUCUUAGGAAAACGCUGAAUAUUGUAGUGGUUUUUUGAUUGAUGAAUAAUUGUAGUUAAUCCAAAACACAAUUGGCUGAUUCCUUGAUAAGCUUGGGCAGAGACUGGGGAAUAUAAUGGAUAUGAUGGAAAAUUGUUCCAUUUUCUUUCAUUCUCAACUAAGAUUUCCCCAGCUCUGUCCUCCAGCAUCUCUCACAGUCAGGUAAGGAAAAUACACCAUAUAUUAAGGUUCUAGAACUGGGCUGCAAAAAUAUGGGUGACCACAAGAUGCAGCAAAGAGUUAGAAUUGCUGUUCAGUACAAAAGCACAUAUCAUAUAUGAAGCAUUUUUAGAUGUAUAUUUAAGUUCAGAAUAAUUGCAACAUGGAAUCCAUUCAUGUAUUCAGGGAUGUCAGCAGUGUGUGGUCAAAAAAAGGCAAGAUAUAGUGCAAAAACACUAUAUAACGUAACAGUGCAAUUGAAGCUCCACCUAGUUUUUAUGUGUGUUGCACAUGUGACACACAGAGAAACCAGGCAAAGCUUCAAUUGCUCCAUCAUGGUCACCAUCUUGACUUGUUUGACCACGC